rnacentral:lncRNA from 1 species
ACAUGCGAUUGGACGAGGGGUUUAAAGCCGAACUUUGAAGCAGCUGAAUUUGUAUAGGUCCAUUACAGACGUCCAAAAUUGCACUUAGAAAGCCGCUACUCGAGAACGAUACCGUAUGGACAAGACCCUUUUGUUGCAAUAAUUUAUAUAUUUCUAGGCGAGUGCGGACUGUUUCCUGAAGCUUGUGUUCUAAACAGAAUUCUAGCAGAGUGGCAAACAUUCCGAAGCUACUUUUAUUCAGCGCUGUUGCAACAAUUUAUACAUGUAACAGAGAUAAGCGACGUAUUUAUAUUAUGUUAAAACGAUGACAAAUUGGGGGAUUUGUCAGUUUUUCUUGUUUUUGGAGACAUGUCUUCUAUUUUUAACUCUUUCGGGAGCAGAAGCUACAGUGAGAUCACAUAAAUCAUUCCGUCAUGCGAGGCGGGAGCAUAUCAGCAUUGAAAGCAGGUACCAAUAUUCCACCAUGAAUCAUCAAGUUUUGCAAGCGCAGUUGCAAACCGUUACUUGGAGACCCCAAAUGAGAAAACCUUUGAAACUAAAUCAAGUAGAGGACGGGAAUACCGGCACCAGGAUCCAACCGGGAAAAGUUGCUAUUGAUUUGACUGGGCCAAACGUCUGCGGCUCCAGGUGUUGCCAUGGCUGGACCGUGACCCCGAAGACAGGAAGAUGCACGAAGCCAAGGUGCUACCCCCGUUGCCAUAACAGGGCGAUUUGUCAGAAGCCCAACACCUGCGAGUGCCGCCCAGGUUUCCAUGGCUACCGCUGCGAGCAGGCCGGCAUGACCUCUGCCCUUGCUGCUCUGUCCUUGGCACAGGUGGCGCCCGUCUCCCUCUCACCUCUGACCCCCACCAACCCCGUCAUGCCCACCCCCACCAACCCCCCCACUGCCACCUCAGAGCCCUCCAGCCUGAUGCCCCAGACCACCCAGGCAGGGCAGGUCGAGGGGGCAACUACUGGUGUCAGUGGUGGGAGAGAAGAGUACGCCCUCCGCUGGAAACCCUCCUCGGUGCAGGAGGCCCAGCGCAUGCUUCUGAAGAGGACUCUGAGCGGAGCGGUGAAGGGGAGGAAGGUGGCCAGCCUGCUGAUGAAGCACAUCGAGGCCGAGCGCAACAAGCUGCUCUCCGCUCCCCCGGACACACACCCCUCCAGCACCAAAACCUUUCACACGGAGCGCGGACAGUACACACUGGUCAUGAGCUACGGGCCCG